rnacentral:rRNA from 1 species
GAUGAACGCUGGCGGCGUGCCUAAUACAUGCAAGUCGAGCGAACAGACGAGGAGCUUGCUCCUCUGACGUUAGCGGCGGACGGGUGAGUAACACGUGGAUAACCUACCUAUAAGACUGGGAUAACUUCGGGAAACCGGAGCUAAUACCGGAUAAUAUAUUGAACCGCAUGGUUCAAUAGUGAAAGGCGGUUUUGCUGUCACUUAUAGAUGGAUCCGCGCCGCAUUAGCUAGUUGGUAAGGUAACGGCUUACCAAGGCAACGAUGCGUAGCCGACCUGAGAGGGUGAUCGGCCACACUGGAACUGAGACACGGUCCAGACUCCUACGGGAGGCAGCAGUAGGGAAUCUUCCGCAAUGGGCGAGAGCUUGACGGAGCAACGCCGCGUGAGUGAUGAAGGUCUUCGGAUCGUAAAACUCUGUUAUUAGGGAAGAACAAAUGUGUAAGUAACUAUGCACGUCUUGACGGUACCUAAUCAGAAAGCCACGGCUAACUACGUG